CAAAUGCAAGUAAGUACAGAGGUGUUAAACUAUCUCUAUGGGGAACGGCUGUGUAGGCCAUGUAAGGGAUGAAUAGCUGGUGAGAGGCAGCUAGUGAGCUAGUGAGCUAUGUUUUUGUGUUCGUGAACACAAAGAGAGAGUUUGAGUAACUUUGCUGAGGGGGCCGUAAGCAGGGAUCAGCUUAUGACCGGGCUUUACCACUGAUGGUUCAUGGGUUUGGUCA